rnacentral:rRNA from 1 species
GACGAAGGGGGCUAGCGUUGUUCGGAAUUACUGGGCGUAAAGCGCGUGUAGGCGGUUGCCCUAGUCAGGGGUGAAAGCCUUGAGCUUAACUCAAGAAAUGCACUUGAUACUGGGCGACUAGAGGACCGGAGAGGAUAGUGGAAUUCCCAGUGUAGUGGUGAAAUACGUAGAGAUUGGGAAGAACACCAGUGGCGAAGGCGGCUAUCUGGACGGUUACUGACGCUAAGACGCGAAAGCGUGGGGAGCAAACAGG